AAAGGCUCGUAGUCGGAUUUUGGCAUCACGCCGCACUGUCUGCCGAUUGGUAACUUUGGUUUGGCGGGUGCUUCCUUCCGGUGCUGUUUUCUGCUCUUACCUGAGCGGUUCGUUGGUUCCGGUUCUUUUACUUUGAGAAAAUUAGAGUGUUCAAAGCAGGCCUAUGCUCUGAAUAGGCUAGCAUGGAAUAAUAGAAUAGGACUUUGGCUCUAUUUUGUUGGUUUCUAGGACCGAAGGAAUGAUAAAUAGGGACAGUUGGGGGCAUUCAUAUUCCAUUGUCAGAGGCGAAAUUCUUGGAUUAACGGAAGAUGAACUUCUGCGAAAGCAUCUGCCAAGGAUGUUUUCAUUGAUCAUGAACGAAAGUUAGGGGAUCGAAGACGAUCACAUACCGUCGUAGUCUUAACCAUAAACUAUGCCGACUAGGGAUGU
rnacentral:rRNA from 1 species